CCUACGGGAGGCAGCAGUGAGGAAUAUUGGUCAAUGGACGAGAGUCUGAACCAGCCACGUAGCGUGAAGGAUGACUGCCCUAUGGGUUGUAAACUUCUUUUAUAAAGGAAUAAAACGAGGCACGUGUGCCUUUUUGCAUGUACUUUAUGAAUAAGGAUCGGCUAACUCCGUGCCAGCAGCCGCGGUAAUACGGAGGAUUCGAGCGUUAGCCGGAUUUAUUGGGUUUAAAGGGAGCGUAGAGGGGUUGUUAAGUCAGUUGUGAAAGUUUGCGGCUUAACCGUAAAAUUGCAAUUGAUACUGGCAGUCGUGAGUCCCGUUGAGGUAGGCGAAAUUCCUUGUGUAGCGGU
rnacentral:rRNA from 1 species